rnacentral:rRNA from 1 species
AGUGAACGCUGGCGGUAGGCCUAACACAUGCAAGUCGAGCGGCAGCACAGUACUAGCUUGCGCAUUCAGCUGCCGACUGGCGAGCGAUUGCUAGGUACAUGCCUGUCUGCUUUUUAUAACGGGCUAACGUGGGGGCUCAUACGCUAUUCCUGCAUACGACCUACGGGGGAGAUCAUCGGACCUUCCGCUCUCGCACGAUCCAAGGUGGGAUUAGCUAGUUGGUGGGGUAAAGGCCUACCAAGGCGACGAUCCGUAACUGGUCUGAGAGGAUGAUCAGUCACACUGGAACUGAGACACGGUCCAGACUCCUACGGGAGGCAGCAGUGGGGAAUAUUGGACAAUGGGCGAAAGCCUGAUCCAGCCAUGCCGCGUGUGUGAAGAAGGUCUUCGGAUUGUAAAGCACUUUUGGUUGGGAGGAAGAGCAGUAAGUUAAUACCUUGCUGUUUUGACGUUACCAAAAGAAUAAGCACCGGCUAACUUCGUG